rnacentral:misc_RNA from 1 species
GUAGGUGAACCUGCGGAAGGAUCAUUGCAAAUCAGAGUUGGAAUGUGAUGGGGUGAGAGUGGGGAGUUUGAGAGUAAUCUUGAAUAUCUUGCUAUUGCUACCAUUUCAUUUCCACAUAUGCACAGCGUGCUUGGAUGGGAGGAGCUAACCCUUUUCUUGUUUCUGCCGCUGAUGUUUACGCUUGUUUGUUUGACAAAUCUAUUACAUCUAAAUAUACAAAACUUUUAACAACGGAUCUCUUGGCUCUUGC